AGAGAGUGGCCAUGCGCUCGCAGCGCGCGCUCACUGGGUCUUGUGGUUUCCGGUCUGGUCCAAUCACCGCGCGAGGAGCAGAGCUCGUCUCAUUCAAACACAAACAGUCUGAACGCGUUCUCCUCCUGGACGGAACCAUGCGGUUCCCCGGUUCGGUUCUGGUCUUCGUUCUGCUCGUUUUCUACGUUUCCGGGUCAUCAGGUGUGUAUACUAGCGGUACACACGUGGAGCACAUGACUAAAGUGUUGAUUAUCAAAGAUGCAGAUCUGAAGAUCAUCACUGCUGCACCUGGAGAGGAUGUCAUUCUGACAUUUGAAGCUCCAGAAAACAUGAUAGCUUUGGAGUGGACCAGACUCGACUUCCAGGAGGGAGAAUAUGUGUUUGUAUACAGGAAUGGUGGUAUUAAUCUAGACGAGCAGCAUGAAUCCUUCAAGAAUCGAGUGUUUCUGAAUAUCAGUCAGAUGAAGAAUGGAGAUCUGUCUGUGGUUCUGAAGAACGUGACGGUUAAUGACAGCGGAACAUACCAGUUUUCAGGCAUACGAGAGCAUGAUCCAGAUAGAGAAAUGAUUCCGAUUGGCAGAGUCCGUCUGUCGGUGAUUCCUCCAGGGGACAAAGAUGAAGUCGGUCAUGGUCGUCUUGGUCUGAUCCCUCUGUCAGGUCUCCUACUUCUUACUUUUGUUGUCCUUGCUGUUGGUCUCUGGAUCUGCUGGACAAAAAAAGAUUCUAACCAAAGUUCCACAGGUUCCAACAACCAGCGGGGUGUUGAACUUGUGCCUCUUAACUCAGAUUCUAAAGCAGACGAAAGCAUGGCAGUUUCUCUAGUCUGA
rnacentral:lncRNA from 1 species